rnacentral:rRNA from 1 species
ACAGCAGCCGCCGCGGGAAUACGAAGGGGGCUAGCGUUGUUCGGAUUUACUGGGCGUAAAGCGCACGUAGGCGGAUCGAUCAGUCAGGGGUGAAAUCCCAGAGCUCAACUCUGGAACUGCCAUUGAUACUGUCGAUCUGGAGUAUGGAAGAGGUGAGUGGAAUUCCGAGUGUAGAGGUGAAAUUCGUGGAUAUUCUGAGGAACACCAGUGGCGAAGGCGGCUCGCUGGUCCAUUACUGACGCUGAGGUGCGAAAGCGUGGGGAGCAAACAGGAUUAGAGACCCCCGUAGUCCCUGUCUCUUAUAA